CCAGUAACGGCGAGUGAAGCGGCAACAGCUCAAAUUUGAAAUCUGGUCCCUAGGGCCCGAGUUGUAAUUUGUAGAGGAUGCUUUUGGUGAGGUGCCGCCCGAGUUCCCUGGAACGGGACGCCACAGAGGGUGAGAGCCCCGUCUGGCUGGCCGCCGAGCCUCUGUAAAGCUCCUUCGACGAGUCGAGUAGUUUGGGAAUGCUGCUCAAAAUGGGAGGUAUAUGUCUUCUAAAGCUAAAUAUUGGCCAGAGACCGAUAGCGCACAAGUAGAGUGAUCGAAAGAUGAAAAGCACCUUGAAAAGAGGGUUAAAUAGUACGUGAAAUUGUUGAAAGGGAAGCGCUUGUGACCAGACUUGGGCGCGGCGGAUCAUCCGGGGUUCUCUCCGGUGCACUUCGCCGCGUCUAGGCCAGCAUCAGUUCGUCGCGGGGGAAAAAGGCUUCGGGAACGUGGCUCCUCCGGGAGUGUUAUAGCCCGUUGCAUAAUACCCUGCGGUGGACUGAGGACCGCGCAUCUGCAAGGAUGCUGGCGUAAUGGUCACCAGCGACCCGUCUUGAAACACGGACCAAGGAGUCGUCUUCGUAUGCGAGUGUUCGGGUGUCAAACCCCUACGCGUAAUGAAAGUGAACGCAGGUGAGAGCUUCGGCGCAUCAUCGACCGAUCCUGAUGUUCUCGGAUGGAUUUGAGUAAGAGCAUACGGGGCCGGACCCGAAAGAAGGUGAACUAUGCCUGUAUAGGGUGAAGCCAGAGGAAACUCUGGUGGAGGCUCGCAGCGGUUCUGACGUGCAAAUCGAUCGUCAAAUAUGGGCAUGGGGGCGAAAGACUAAUCGAACCUUCUAGUAGCUGGUUUCCGCCGAAGUUUCCCUCAGGAUAGCAGUGUUGAGCUCAGUUUUAUGAGGUAAAGCGAAUGAUUAGGGACCCGGGGGCGCUAUAUUGCCUUCAUCCAUUCUCAAACUUUAAAUAUGUAAGAAGCCCUUGUUACUUAGUUGAACGUGGGCAUUCGAAUGUAUCAACACUAGUGGGCCAUUUUUGGUAAGC
rnacentral:rRNA from 1 species